rnacentral:rRNA from 1 species
AUUGAACGCUAGCGGGAUGCCUUACACAUGCAAGUCGAACGGAGUGGCGAACGGGUGAGUAAUGUAUCGGAACGUGCCCAGUAGCGGGGGAUAACUACGCGUAAGCGUAGCUAAUACCGCAUACUCUUGGAGCGGCCGAUAUCGGAUUCGCUAGUUGGUGGGGUAACGGCUAACGAAGGCGAAGAUCCGUAGCUGGUUUGAGAGGACGACGAGCCACACUGGGACGGAGACACGGCCCAGACUCCUACGGGAGGAAGCAGUGGGGAAUUUUGGACAAUGGGGGAAACCCUGAUGCAGCCAGCCCGCGUGUGCGAUGAAGGCCUUCGGGUUGUAAAGCACUUUUGGCAGGAAAGCGGUACCUGCAGAAUAAGCACCGGCUAACUACGUGCCAGCCGCCGCGGUAAUAC